UUACGGAAGGCAGCAGUGGGGAAUAUUGGACAAUGGGCGCAAGCCUGAUCCAGCCAUGCCGCGUGGAUGAUGAAGGCCCUAGGGUUGUGAAGUCCUUUUAACGGGGAAGAUAAUGACGGUACCCGUAGAAUAAGCCCCGGCUAACUUCGUGCCAGCAGCCGCGGUAAUACGAAGGGGGCUAGCGUUGCUCGGAAUUACUGGGCGUAAAGCGCACGUAGGCGGUCUUUUAAGUCGGGGGUGAAAUCCUGGAGCUCAACUCCAGAACUGCCUUCGAUACUGGAAGACUUGAGUCCGGGAGAGGUGAGUGGAACUGCGAGUGUAGAGGUGAAAUUCGUAGAUAUUCGCAAGAACACCAGUGGCGAAGGCGGCUCACUGGCCCGGUACUGACGCUGAGGUGCGAAAGCGUGGGGAGCAAACAGGAUUAGAUACCCGGGUAGUCCA
rnacentral:rRNA from 1 species